UGGGGAAUCUUGGACAAUGGGCGCAAGCCUGAUCCAGCCAUGCCGCGUGGAUGAUGAAGGCCUUAGGGUUGUAAAAUCCUUUCGUGGGGGACGAUAAUGACGUUACCCUCAGAAGCAGCACCGGCUAACUCCGUGCCAGCAGCCGCGGUAAUACGGGGGGUGCAAGCGUUAAUCGGAAUUAUUGGGCGUAAAGGGUGCGUAGGUUGUUUGAUAAGAUAUAUGUGAAAUACCUGGGCUCAACCUGGGAAGGUCAUAUAAGACUGUCAGACUCGAGUAUGGGAGAGGGUAGAGGAAUUUCCGGUGUAGCGGUGAAAUGCGUAGAUAUCGGAAGGAACAUCGGUGGCGAAGGCGUCUACCUGGCCUAAUACUGACACUGAGGCACGAAAGCGUGGGGAGCAAACAGGAUUAGAUACCCAAGUAGUCCCUGAGCGGGCUGGCAAGGCGCAU
rnacentral:rRNA from 1 species